rnacentral:lncRNA from 1 species
AUCAAAGAUAUUAAACUUCAUUAGAUAAGAGUGUUACAACCUGAGAUACAUCAAAUCCAUAGGCUAUACAUAAAAAAAAAUAAAGCAAGGUCUUUAAGUCCAAGAAAGAAUAAGCUAAAGAGAUCCAACCCUGAAGACCAAACUCGAAAAAGACCCAAAACAUGACUUAAAAAAUUCUUCAGGAUGCACCGAUGUAUCGCUACUCUCUCUGUCAUUUUCGACUGCCAUUUCUGAUAACCAAUUGGUUCGGAGGAGACGUCUUUCUCAAUAAUAGCCGAAAAAGCUUAUGUACAAAUUGAAGAUCAGAGAGUAAAGCCAACCUCAGUAUCAAACCCACAGAUCCCUAAAACGAAGAGGAGAUAAAACCGGUGUAAAAAUCACGUACAAGCUCCGAAUAGUGUAGAAACGAUGGAAAACCAACAACUAACAGAAAGGCAAGAUGGAGCUUCCUCUAAAGCUCCUCGUCACCACUAUUUAGGCCGAUGAAGCUACCUCUAGAAAGAUCCAGACCAGCAAUAGAAAGGAGAUGUUUUUCUACAUUGAUGGCAAGUUAGUUCCGCCUUCUUAUCGAUAGCAUGCAAGCAAGAAAAGAGCAAGUUAGAGAGACUAUCUCCUAAAAGAAAACAAAAGGAAAAAAAUAAAUGAAACAAACAACAAGGCAGAACCAAAGUUUCACUCCCUCAUCAUAGAAGCAUCGCUUGCCAAAAACAAAUACAAACAAAAAUAUAUACAACCUCUUCUAGACAGAGGAGGAAGAGAAAUCCACAUUCGGAAAGUGAAGGAGAGUACCCCUUCUCGGCGGAGUAGGGGCGGCCACGGACUCCAGCAUGAAAAGAGACAUAUGCCUCAAGGAACCCUCACAACUCUCAUGGAGAAAACUCCCUCUAGCUCUAAGCGAACUCUUUUUUGGUGUAAGAUAAUUUCUUACGGCCAAAACAUUCGGUCUAGACCUUUUUUUGACUUUUUUUUUUCGACUUUACGAUUUGUUUUUUUUUUGCGAGCUCAAAGUGACAUUUAAUGGACAUUUUACCUAAAAAUUAACCCAUGAUAAAGGGGAGAUAAAACAAGUGCAGUUUUUAUUUGUCCAAUGGAGUGCGCUGUACGC